rnacentral:rRNA from 1 species
GACGGAGGAUGCAAGCGUUAUCCGGAAUGAUUGGGCGUAAAGCGUCCGCAGGUGGCAGUUCAAGUCUGCUGUCAAAGACCGGGGCUUAACUUCGGAAAGGCAGUGGAAACUGAACAGCUAGAGUAUGGUAGGGGCAGAGGGAAUUCCUGGUGUAGCGGUGAAAUGCGUAGAUAUCAGGAGGAACACCGGUGGCGAAGGCGGCUUUCUGGACAGAAACUGACGCUGAUGCGCGAAAGCUAGGGGAGCAAACAGG